rnacentral:rRNA from 1 species
GACGAACGCUGGCGGCGUGCUUAACACAUGCAAGUCGAACGGAAAGGCCCUGCUUUUGUGGGGUGCUCGAGUGGCGAACGGGUGAGUAACACGUGAGUAACCUGCCCUUGACUUUGGGAUAACUUCAGGAAACUGGGGCUAAUACCGGAUAGGAGCUCCUGCUGCAUGGUGGGGGUUGGAAAGUUUCGGCGGUUGGGGAUGGACUCGCGGCUUAUCAGCUUGUUGGUGGGGUAGUGGCUUACCAAGGCUUUGGCGGGUAGCCGGCCUGGGAGGGUGACCGGCCACAUUGGGACUGAGAGACGGCCCAGACUCCUACGGGAGGCAGCAGUGGGGAAUAUUGCACAAUGGGCGGAAGCCUGAUGCAGCAACGCCGCGUGCGGGAUGACGGCCUUCGGGUUGUAAACCGCUUUCGCCUGUGACGAAGCGUGAGUGACGGUAAUGGGUAAAGAAGCACCGGCUAACUACGUG